GACGAGCGCUGGCGGCGUGCUUAACACAUGCAAGUCGAACGGAAAGUGCUCUUCGGAGUGACUCGAGUGGCGAACGGGUGAGUAACACGUGGGUGAUCUGCCCUGCACUUUGGGAUAAGCCUGGGAAACUGGGUCUAAUACCGAAUAGGACCAUGGCCUUCAUGGGUUGUGGUGGAAAGCUUUUGCGGUGUGGGAUGGGCCCGCGGCCUAUCAGCUUGUUGGUGGGGUAAUGGCCUACCAAGGCGACGACGGGUAGCCGGCCUGAGAGGGUGAACGGCCACACUGGGACUGAGAUACGGCCCAGACUCCUACGGGAGGCAGCAGUGGGGAAUAUUGCACAAUGGGCGCAAGCCUGAUGCAGCGACGCCGCGUGAGGGAUGACGGCCUUCGGGUUGUAAACCUCUUUCAGUAGGGACGAAGCGCAAGUGACGGUACCUAUAGAAGAAGGACCGGCCAACUACGUGCCAGCCGCCGCAGUAA
rnacentral:rRNA from 1 species